rnacentral:rRNA from 1 species
AUGAUACUUGCGGAUGAGCUAGGAUGCCCACGAGUUGUUUUUGAAUCUGAUUGCCUAGGGCUUAUGAAUACUUGCAAUGGGGUGCCUGAAAUACUCAGUCCAUAUACAGUUAUCCUUGCUGAUUGCUUCCAUAUGGCGAAGAGGAUUGGAUCAGUCUCUUUUGUUCACUACACAAGAGAGGCAAACAUGAUGGCACACUCUUUAGCAAGAAAGUCUUUUGAUUCCCAAGUUGUUAUUUCUUGGGGUGAUGAACCUCCAGGUUUUCUCUUACCCGAGCUGGUUAAAGAUGUAACUAUUUUUUUUAAUAAAGUGUGCCACAAGUUAAAAAAACUAUCAAUCUAA